AGCUUGAUCUUGGCCCAUGGAUCUUUAAAUGCAUGCUGGUGGAUUUCAGUCUCCUGCUGGUUUGUGAACACACGUUGCUGGUGAAGUAAGCAGAUUAAGCAGUGAAUCUGACCCCAGAGAGUUCCAGAGAGAGAAAGGGAAAAAUGAAACCGAACUGGUUUUUGGAAUAAUAGAAGUGGCGAGUGGCCAUGCCAAGCUUGUCUGUUUUAGAGAGCUGAAUGGUGUUCCACGAGCGAGGACAAGCUAAACACACACUCCUGAUCUGACCUCUGUAAUGGGUCGGGACACUGGAGAAGCCAUCUUAUUGGUCCGACACAAAGAGAAGGGUGAUGACAAACAUAAGGAGCAUUACAUCUGAAAGCGAACAGCUUUCCAUGGGGAGAACGAUGUUUGUGUAGAGAACUGCGUUGGGCUUCAGAGACAGGCG